rnacentral:sRNA from 1 species
UCUAAUAGGUUCUAAACCACGGUGUGGU